rnacentral:tRNA from 1 species
GCCCCUGUAGCUCAAUCGGUUAGAGCCGCUGACUCAUAACCAGCUGGUUGCCAGUUCGAGCCUGGCCGGGGGCA